rnacentral:rRNA from 1 species
CGGCGAGUGAGCGGCAAAGCUCAAUUUGAAUCUGGCGCCUUCGGUGUCCGAGUUGUAAUUUGAAGAUUGUAACCUUGGGGUUGGCUCUUGUCUAUGUUUCUUGGAACAGGACGUCACAGAGGGUGAGAAUCCCGUGCGAUGAGAUGCCCAAUUCUAUGUAAGGUGCUUUCGAAGAGUCGAGUUGUUUGGGAAUGCAGCUCUAAGUGGGUGGUAAAUUCCAUCUAAAGCUAAAUAUUGGCGAGAGACCGAUAGCGAACAAGUACAGUGAUGGAAAGAUGAAAAGAACUUUGAAAAGAGAGUGAAAAAGUACGUGAAAUUGUUGAAAGGGAAGGGUUUGAGAUCAGACUCGAUAUUUUGUGAGCCUUGCCUUCGUGGCGGGGUGACCCGCAGCUUAUCGGGCCAGCAUCGGUUUGGGCGGUAGGAUAAUGGCGUAGGAAUGUGACUUUACUUCGGUGAAGUGUUAUAGCCUGCGUUGAUGCUGCCUGCCUAGACCGAGGACUGCGAUUUUAUCAAGGAUGCUGGCAUAAUGAUCCCAAACCGCCCGUCUUGAACAACGGGACCAAA